UCGUCCCCUUCUUCCUUUCCGUAGCAGCAACCGAACUGGAUAACCAGCGGCGGAUAUCCCUAUCCACCUUCGGCCCCUCGUCGCCGUUGUAACUUUUGCUCGUUCCUUCACCUCUCCGACUCUUGUCUGUUACUCAAUCUCGAUAUGGGUCCUCUUCAAGGACUUGGGUUCUUCUCAAUCUCAAUCCUUCUAUUUGUUAGUUGCAUCAAAAUCAUCGGCGGAAGCACUUCCACCAACCUCUUUUACUCGUACUUCGAUGGCGGAGCCUAUAUUAAUUCUGAGUAUUCGUUCCUCAAGAAUAGAAGUUCAUAUCGGCGUUCACACUUGCCGUCAACGUCGCCAUCGUUGGAGGAGGAGGACUGUAGGGUUUGGGUCACGAAGUAUUCGGAAGAGAUCCUGGAGCUGGCGAAGCGGCCGGAGACAAUGGAUUGGUUUAAGGGGUUGAGGAGGAGGAUACAUGAAAACCUUACCUGAACAAAUCGUUUACGCCGGCGCACUGCUGGAGUUGUGGGUGUGUAGGUGAGAGGGGCUUCGUUCUACACUCAGGUCCAGACUAAGUUCUCCACUCAGUCACGACAGAGGCGAUCUGGGCAGUUUAGGUGUGUAGGUGAGAGGUGGGAGGUGGUCAUGGAGCAUUUAUGGGAGGUGGUCUCUACGAUGCGGAGUACGGACAGCCAGGGGCGUGCUGGGCGUGCGGUGACUACAGACAGGGGCGGUCGGGGCAGUGUGGGUGUGUAUGCAAGAGGUGGGAGGUGGUCAUGGAGCAUUUCUGGGAGAUGGUCUCGGCGACUACGAAGAACGGACAUGAGUACGAGACGAGUCGACUGGUUUGGAGCCGGUGGUCCUCCCUGAGUGCACCGGUGGUCCUCCCUUCAUUGCACUCAGGGCAGAAAUGGAUGCUCUGCCUAUUCAGAUUCACAGUACAAUCAGCUAGUGGAGUCGUUUCUUGAGAUGAACAAACCAACCAGGUACGGAAUUUCAGAAGGAGGUUUGGAAUAAUGGGUCAUCCUCGUCCACGGGUUUUGCUAGCCAGUUGGGACUUGGGUGGGCAACUUACGGAGAAAAUCGCGAAUCGCGUAGCCUGUAACUAUCAUGGUGGACCGUCGAUGGAACAAAUGAAGACUACCCCAUGCACCAUAAUAACCCAAACCACAAUUUGAUAAUAGAUAUUAGAAGCCGGUGCUCACCAACAACCAACCAAACAUUAACAAAAAAAACAAGAAGGAAAUUGCUCUGUAUUCGGAACCCCAACUAGUUUGACUAAUUUUUAGCUUCUUUCUUUUUUUUUUCUUUAAAAUCUGCAAGGGAUGUCAAGUCAAACAAACUAGGUAUUUAUCCGGUUGGUCAUAUACCAACUAGAGAAAGAGUACAACAUA